UACAGGGGGGGCAAGCGUUGUUCGGAAUUACUGGGCGUAAAGGGCUUGUAGGUGGCCAACUAAGUCAAACGUGAAAUCCCUCAGCUUAACUGGGGAACUGCCUUUGAUACUGAAGAUCUUGAGUUCGGGAGAGGUGAGUGGAACUGCGAGUGUAGAGGUGAAAUUCGUAGAUAUUCGCAAGAACACCAGUGGCGAAGGCGGCUCACUGGCCCGAUACUGACGCUGAGGCACGAAAGCGUGGGGAGCAAACAGG
rnacentral:rRNA from 1 species